CUGGCUUCGGUUUAUAUGCGGUUCUGACCCCUGUUGACUUUAGGACAAGCCUUCCUGUUUCCAGUACUGCAGCAUCGCCAGACAGCCUCGCCAUGCAAUCGGCUUUCCAGAUACGAUUUCACUCCUCACCAAAGACACUUCUUUAGGGCGAUUUUAGGAUUCUAUCAACGCUAGUAAAGGAACUACUUAAACACGUUGAUUUGUAUCGCCUUCCCUGACUAUGAAACAUUGAAGUGGAAUACUACUCAUCAAUAAAAAAAAUAUAAACUCCUGAUACACCUCAUGGAUGGAUGCAUAGAUG
rnacentral:lncRNA from 1 species